GCCAAAGUUGAGAAAUACUGGUUUAGUGGGAGACAGAGAUGGGUUAACAAAUCGCUCCAACACAAGGCUCCAACACAGGGUGCUCUAAUAGAGAAGGGGACAAGCCUCUCUGGGAACACAGGGAAGCAUGUGACUCCUUGAAUAGACAAGGGUCAUCAGAGACUGCGCAAAAAAGAUGAUACGUGAGCAGAGUCUUAGAAGAUGAGGGCAGCUUGCCAGUCUCAAGAAGAAUUCCUCCUUCUUCAAGAAACCUCAGGCUUUGUUCUCAAGGUCUUCAACUAAAUUAUGAGGCCCCCUCACAUGAUGGAAGGAAAGAAAACUUCUUCAGAUCUGCCAGAGAUGGAAGAAUGAUAUUCUCUGGCAUGGAAGAAAAAUAUUCAACUACUUCCUUAGCCGGUAUGUUGCAAGAGAAUGAAACAGGGUGGUCUACACCAUGUGCCGACAGAAGUGAGGAGUUUGUUUUCUGAAUCUCUAAUGUCCUGCUAUCGAAGACCGAUUACAGAGGGUUUUCUUCAUUGACCAUUAGGGCACUUUCCACUGAAAAUGGUAAACAAUAUUACAAACUAAAAAAAAGAAGUAAUCUGAUUUCUGGGAAGAGGGAGCCCAGUGAAAGAUGUGUGCUUUUAUAAGGAUGGACAAUGGAAAGCAAAAUAAUAACUCCUAACUUUGAUUGUUCAAAUAUAUUCUGCAAUACGGAGAGCUGCAUGCAGGCUGGAGCAGGCAUGGGGCAGGAAGGUUAAGUAGAAGAGAAGGCACAAUACUUCAGAUUGGCAGUAGACUGCAGCAAGAAUAAUCUAAUCAAAACAAAAUUAAAUUAUCUAGUCCCAGGGCAGGCUCCUGGGGCUGCUGCAUUGAAUGCUAGCAGAGCUCCUCCUAGACAUUUUUCCCCAGUCAAACUCACAUGAUGAAUGCAGAUGAAAUUUGAAAUAUGAAAAUCUGAAAUAAUUUAUGGAAGUUGUCAGAAAUUUGGCCUGCUUGUGGUGUAAUUUCCUCUGAGACGAGGCAGGCCGGCUCACUGCUGCAAGACUUGGAGCGGCUGCCGGCCUUCCAGUGGAUGGAUCAACCCCUUUAAAAUGCUCUUCCAGACAAAUUACAGCUCAUUACACACAGCCUUGCACCAUGCCAUUAUGUCAGAGGAAAUCUUUUUUCAUUUGCACAAAUUUGCUUGGAAUUCUCAUAUUUAUUUGAGCAUCCAUUAUCGAAUCCGAACAUUGAAUUAUCCACAAUUAUUUU
rnacentral:lncRNA from 1 species